rnacentral:rRNA from 1 species
UACGUAGGGUGCAAGCGUUAUCCGGAAUUAUUGGGCGUAAAGAGCUCGUAGGCGGUUUGUCGCGUCUGCUGUGAAAACUGGAGGCUCAACCUCCAGCCUGCAGUGGGUACGGGCAAACUAGAGUGCGGUAGGGGAGAUUGGAAUUCCUGGUGUAGCGGUGGAAUGCGCAGAUAUCAGGAGGAACACCGGAUGGCGAAGGCAGAUCUCUGGGCCGUAACUGACGCUGAGGAGCGAAAGCAUGGGGAGCGAACAGG